UGUAGAUUUGCGUAUUGUAUAAAUUUGUGGCAGAUUCAAAGCAACGAUUAAAAAAGAUGAAAAAGUCCCUUGUUCUUGUUCUCGUCCUAGUCUGUCUCCAGUUGAUAAUUCAGGCUAGCGAACAAGCACCAGUUGUUCCAGAAGGGUCUGAAAUCCUGGACAAACGUCACGGAGGCAAGCAUCACCACGGCAAUAAGAAAAGGUGCUCCACUUCUUCGUCAUCAACAGCGACGUCGCUGCCCACAACUGUGUCUACCACCACGGAAGUCUUGACAACAACAACAACACCUGCGUCCCCAUAAACGCGCAAAUAGUUUUCUUUUUUAAAAAAAAAGAUGACUACCGAAUACAAUGGAGUCCACAUGACCUAAUGUCGAAAAUAUACAUUGUUUCUGUUUAAA